rnacentral:sRNA from 1 species
AGAAAUGGAUUCGUUUGCCUGCAGAUGGGAAGGCUGUGACGUAUCAAAAAGAUUUUGGUACAAGAUGAAGGAACAUAUCAGGUCUCACACCCAGGCCAAGGUCGUGGCAUGCCCCACUUGUGGUAGUCUGUUUGCCAACAACACAAGGUACAUAGACCAUCUUCUACGCCAAGGUCAUGUGACAG